rnacentral:rRNA from 1 species
AGUGAACGCUGGCGGUAGGCCUAACACAUGCAAGUCGAACGGCAGCACAGGAGAGCUUGCUCUCUGGGUGGCGAGUGGCGGACGGGUGAGGAAUACAUCGGAAUCUACUCUGUCGUGGGGGAUAACGUAGGGAAACUUACGCUAAUACCGCAUACGACCCACGGGUGAAAGCAGGGGACCUUCGGGCCUUGCGCGAUUGAAUGAGCCGAUGUCGGAUUAGCUAGUUGGCGGGGUAAAGGCCCACCAAGGCGACGAUCCGUAGCUGGUCUGAGCAGGUGAUCAGACACACUGGAACAGAGUCGCGGUCGAGACUCCGACGUGAGGCAGCAUUGGGGAAUAUUGGAAAAGUUGCGCAAGCCUGAUCCAGCCAUACCGCGUGGGUGAAGAAGGCCUUCUGGUUGUAAAGCCCUUUUGUUGGAAAAGAAAUCCAGCUGGCUAAUACCCGGUUGGGAUGACGGUACCCAAAGAAUAAGCACCGGCUAACUUCGUGCCAGCCGCCGCAGUAA